rnacentral:ncRNA from 1 species
UAAAAGUCUUUUUUCUUAUAAAUUUAUGUAUAAUUUUAUUUUAAAUGCAAAUUAUAGUGUUAAAUAUAAUUAAUUUAAAUAAUUUUAUUUUAAAAUUUGCAGUAAUUAAAUUUAUUUAUUUAAGGAAUUAAGAAAUAGUAAAUAUUUUAGUAUAAACUAAAUUUGUGCCAGCAGUUGCGGUUAUACAAAUUAUACAUUAUAAAUUAUUUGGUAAUUAGUUAAUUGAAUAUUAGAAUUAAUAGAUAAAUUUAUUAGGUGAAAUUUUAUAUUUAUAUAAUUUUAAAAUAUUUUAAUGAAGCUAAAAAAUUUUAUAUUAAACUAGGAUUAGAUACCCUAUUAUAAAAAAGUAAUUAAGUUACUUAAUUAGUAUUAGUUUUGUUCUUGAAAAUUAGAUAAUUUGGCGGUAUUUUAGUCUGUUCAGAGGAACUUGUCCUAUAAUUGAUAAUCCACGAGUUAAUUUACUUAUAUUUUUAGUUUGUAUAUCGUCGUAUUAAGAAUAUUUUAAUUGAAUUUUAAUAUUCUUAAAUUUUAUGGAAAAUAAUUCAGAUCAAGAUAUAGCUUAUAUAUAAGAAGAGAUGAGUUACUUUAUAUUAAUAUUAGAAAAAUUAUUUUAAGUGAUUUUGAAAAUGGAUUUGAAUGUAAUUUUUUUAUUAAUUUAAAAGAUGAUUUUAGCUCUAAAAUAUGUACAUAUCGCCCGUCGCUUUCAUUUUAAAGUGGAAUAAGUCGUAACAUAGUAGAGGUACUGGAAAGUGUCUCUAGAAAUUU